GGCCUGUUGAGUAGAAUUUUAGGUCUAGCCUGCCCAAUGAUGAUUUUAAAUGGCCGCGGUAUAUUGACCGUGCAAAGGUAGCAUAAUCAUUAGUUUUUUGAUUGAAAGCUAGGAUGAAGGGUUUUAUGAGAAAGAAUCUGUCUCUUUAGAAGUUUAUUAGAAUUUUAUUUUUAAGUGAAAAAGCUUAGAUUAGGAUGGAAGACGAGAAGACCCUAUAGAGUUUUAUAUUUAAGAGAGUUUAAGGUAUGCGGAGUUAGGUUUAUUUUUUAUUUUAUUAAAUAUUUUGCUGGGGUGACAGAAAAAUUGGCUAAACUUUUUUUUUAUUUAGAUCAUUGAUUUAUGAAUAUAUGAUCCUGAUAAUUUAGAUUAAAAGAUUAAAUUACCUUAGGGAUAACAGCGUAAUUUUUUAUAGAGUUCAAAUCGAAUAAAAAGAUUGCGACCUCGAUGUUGGAUUAAAAUGAAUAAUUGGUGAAGAAGUUGAUUAAUUAGGUCUGUUCGACCUUUAAAAUUUUACAUGAUCUGAGUUUAAACCGGCGUGAG
rnacentral:rRNA from 1 species